rnacentral:misc_RNA from 1 species
AACGCAUAUUGCGCCCUUUGGUAUUCCGAAGGGCACACUUGUUCGAGCGCCAUUUCAACCCUCAAGCUUUUGCUUGGUGUUGGGUAAGGUCCCUUAAAAAAGGACUAACCCGUAACUUGUAGGCGGUCAUUGUCAAGAUCCCCCAGCGUAGCAAGCUUAACGCAAUCGCUUUGGGGAUAGAUAAGUGAUCUACCCACUAAAUUUUACAAGGUUUGGCCUCGGAUCAAGUGGGGAUACCCGCUGAACUUAA